rnacentral:misc_RNA from 1 species
GAAAUGCGAUAAGUAAUGUGAAUUGCAGAAUUCAGUGAAUCAUCGAAUCUUUGAACGCACAUUGCACCCGCCAGCACUCUGGCGGGCAUGCCUGUUCGAGCGUCAUUUCAACCCUCAGAACCCCUUGCGGGAUCUGGCGUUGGGGAUUGGCAUCCAGCCAGCCCCGAAAUCUAGUGGCGGUCCCUCCGCGACCUCCCCUGUGCAGUAGCGAUACCUCGCAGCGGGACAGCGGUCUGACCACGCCGUAAAACCCCCAACUUCUCAAGGUUGACCUCGAAUCAGGUAGGAAUACCCGCUGAACUUAAGC